CUUGUCUUGGAAAAAGAUGGAAAUAUCUCCCUGCAGCAACCUCUCCAAACCCGCAGAAACAAGUGGCUCGUGUUGAGAGCAACAUCCCUGUGUUUUCCCAGGAAGCUUUUCUGGGCAAAGGGACUGUGACAUUUUGCAGAAGUUCUGCAGUUUCUGGUGCCCAGGAUGGGAAGGGAUGGCAAAACUCGAGAGCUGUCCUUCAAGUGGCCUUGCCUGAGCAAAGUGAACAGCUUGAGUGCCUAUCAUUAGCAGGCAGAACACCUCUGCAGGAGGCACACGGCUUGAAACCCUGAGAAUUCUGCAUGAUUACAGCUAAGCAACUCCUCAAAAAUCAAGCAGAAAGUUUUCCUGAGGGAGUUUAUCUAGGGGAAAAAAAAAAUAAAAAUGUUUACACUAAGGUUAGCAUGCAUUAACUGAGCCUGAGUAGGAAAAAAUUGUUGUUUGGAGAUAAACAGAGAGUUUCAGCUCUCGGGGGGAGCAAGGGUUGCAAGGACAGGGAUGAUAAAUGCUGCACCCCAGGGUACUGCAAACAGGACCUGCAGCUCCAAGGUGGUGGUGUAGCUGCUGGAACUGAUUCUUCUCUGAAGGGAUCACAUGGGCCAGAUCCAACCUAACCACGAAUUUUGGAACAAAACAGAGCCAAACUUCCUCUCCUCUACAGCCUUUAGCAAGAUACUUCCACAACCUACAAAUGUGCAGUUGUUCCACUGGAAUCAGAGCCUCCAAUCCGUAGAUUUUUUCCUGUUCCAAAGAGCAGGCACAGAUUUACUGCCUGAAGGGAAGAAGUGGAGCAGUACUAAAACAUUUGGAGCCAUCAAAGACAGAGCCCAUGGGACAGAAACCUCCCAGGUUACACGAACAGAGCAAAUCUCACCCAUUUCUCCUUUGGAUGACAGCUGUGUCAGAGAGAUAGGGAGUGAUAACUGCAGCACUGGAGGUCUCCAAGUGUUUCCAAAAGGAAUUCUCCACUUCACCUCUCCCCUUGCAAUAAUAUGUGCUUGCAACAGUGCCCAUAGUCUUCCAAAGAAGCCACCCCGAGGGCUUGCCACACUGAAUUCUCCAGUUUCACCUAAGAAGACACAUGCCCUGGCAAGCUCAGUCUUACUAACCUUGCUAGGACAACGUGCAGUGUUUGUGUUGGGAACAGGAACGUGUGGUAAACAAAGAUUUCACUGGAAUGAACAAAGAUUUCACUGGUGUGAGCAAAGAUUUCACUGCCAUGAAUAAAGAUUUCACUGGCAUGAGCAAAGAUUUCAUUGCCAUGAAUAAAGAUUUCAC
rnacentral:lncRNA from 1 species